GUCCUAUUCUGUCCAUGGCUGUUCUUCACUUGGGUAUAGUGGUCACUAUUAACCUGUCUGCAUCCUGUGUGAGCCCAGAGACAUCUAGUCUGCCCCCUCUCUGGGAGUACCCCAAAGCACCCCUACAGGAAGGAGAGUAUCCUCUGAAGACCUCAGAAGAGAAGAGACUGUCCUGGGGAGUAGUACCAGAGAAAACAAUCGAAGUCGAGGAAUUGUCUUCUAGACAAGAUGCACAGAUUCACCACUCGAAACCCUGCAUUCAGUCCUUGACAACACGCAGGAGCUACCAAGUUGCAGAUGUCAUCUUGAUGCCAGCCUGACUUCCCUGGAUAGAUGACUUUACCAGUGAGUCCUGGAACCCCAACUCUCCUGAACUGUGCCACACUACGGAAAGAUAUAGACAGUCUGGGAAUAUGGAAUGGCCUGCCAAUGCCUGUGUCCAGCAGAUAAGCAAUUACAGAAGCCAAACUUUUCACCUUCUAUACCCCAUAAUUAUCCUGGGUCCAUACUCCCAGAGGGAUGAAGAGUAGGAAAGCUUUCGAGGCAGAGGAUAGGAUGUGAAACUCUGGUAGUAGGAAUUGUGUGGAAGUUGUGCCCCUCUUGUCCCACAGUCUUGAUCAUUAGUAAAUCAAUAUUUUUAAAGAAAGAAAGAAAGAAAGAGAGAGAGAAAGAAAGAAAGAAGAUGAGAAAGAAAGAAAGAGGAUGAGAAAGAAAGAAAGAAAGAAAGAAAGAAAGAAAGAAUACCUGAGGAGCUUACCCCCCCUCCCCUAUUUUGGCAGCUCAUUGUUUGGGGAGUCAACAAUGGAGUGAGGUUUAUAUCUAUUUAGUUGUCCUGAAAUGAAAAAUGACACUGAAAAUUUUCUCAUCUAGCAAUACAUCUUAAAUUUAUUUAGCAAGAAUUAUAUUUUGGUAAGUAGUUAAUAAACUUAAAAAAAUUAGAAUCACUGUCUCAAAGAGAUUUGAAGUCAUUGAAAGAAUUUUACAAGGACAUCUCUUCCCUGUCAAAACACUAUAUUGUGAAGAUAUAUGGUUUUUGUUAUUUAUUUACUUUUUAUUAGUGAUUUAAUAUUGACUUACAAAAUUAUAAGAUAACAGGGUUAUAGUUCCACACCAUUCCCACCACCAGAGUUGCGUGUCCCCAUUCCCUCCAUUGGAAACUAUAGUGGUUCUCCCAAGGUCAUAGAUAUGAGUUGACUAUUGUUUCUAAAACUAUAAUCGUAUACAUAUAUUUGUCCUUUUUUUUUUUCUAUGGUCCUGCCUUCUCUUCCUUUCUAAGUCACACCUACACUUAUUACUACUUCCAAAUGUCCUUCCUUUUUUAUCUCUUCUCUUUCUGGGUCCUGAUGGAGUUGGAAUUCAGAGCCCUCUGGUCAUGUUCCCCUAAUACUUCUCCCUCUCUGGAAGUGUGGCCCAGAAUUCUCUAUGGGAUGUAGAAAGUGGGAGUUAUGGCCUCUGUAAUUGCUUCUCCACUGGAUAUGGUAAUUGGCAGGCUGAUCCAUACCCCUAGUCUAUUUCUGUCUUUCCCUAGUGGGGUAGGACUCUGGAAAGGUGAGGCUUUGUGACAAAUUUUUGAGGGCAUCUGCCCAGGGAAGUCAUAGAAUCACUGAUGGAAUCUGCAACUUGGUGGCUGAAAGGCAGUUAGAUAAAAAGCAGGACAAAAUGUUGAAUAAACAGGAACCAGAAAGUAGGAAUAAGGCAGAUGAAAUUAGGAGUCUUUGGGUGGGAAAAAGUUAGGAAUUCUAUUUUAGCUAUGUCCCAACGGGCCUGUGACUGUAGUAAUUUUGCCUGAGCCUUAUAGCUAACAUGCAGGUGGGCCAAAAAUGUCUGGGAAGAUGGUAUCAGAUUUGAGAAUAGGGAUAAAAAGCUGGAUUAGGGCUUAUUUUUUCUCCAAACAGGAGAAAAAAUAGAUAAAUACCAUUAACGGUUUACCCUAUCGAUCAGACCCAGUGCCUAUAUAUAUUCACAUUUAGUACAGGACCUUGUGAAACCUUUGAAUCCCUGUCAUUCUGAGCUCACAGUCCAUGAUCACAGCAGGGAACAUUCUAGGCUGUACUCAUUUCACGACCAGUCUUCCUCGAGUGGCAGAGUAGGACGAUCCAACGUCCAUUCAGAGAGUGAAGCAGUCCCUACAAUUGUUACUUUAUAGUAAGGGCAAGGUCUUGUAGAGGCCCACAAGAGGGCUUAUAACAAUGUUUUUGAUGGAAGUGACCAGUGAUGAUGGAGAGUGGGAUCACUUAAGGGUCUAGGCCCAUACUGUCUAUGGGGGGUUCUAAGGAUUCUGAGUAGGAACACAAACUAUGGGGUGGCCUGGUAUUGACCAAAAUUAAUCACACCCAAAUCCAGUCAGAAAUUCUUUAUACUGAUUAGCUGACCAUACAUCACUAUACAAGAAUAAAAUGGGACAAAGUAAAUAAGAUAUACUGGAGGGGGGUAGGAAAAGAGGCUAGUAGGUCAUUAUUAGGUGAAUAAGACUUUAGAGGACUAUUCUAGACCAUGUAGUCCCUCUUCCCAAAUCCUUCAGCCUGAUUCAGAGAGGAGAAAUAAUACCCCAGCGCCUAAUUCCUCUGAGAGCCACACUGGGGGCCACCUCUUCGAGAUCCUCUACCUACCUGUCCAUGAUUAUGUCAUUUCCUUUGAUCUGCCCUGGACCAAUCCCUCCAUGCAUCACCUCAUCAUAGUGAGUACUAUGGUUACCCCUAUUUCCCAGAUGUGAAAACUAAGGUUCAGAUCCAGGAAGUGGCAGAUCCAGGAUCAGGAUCUGCCUUAAAGAAUAUUUAUGUCCCUGUUCUAGAAAGUAGAAAAAAAAUAGCUAAAGCUCAUAGCAGCUUAGGCCACAGCCAGCAAGGGCAGAGUUGGACUUCAGUUGCACAAAUACUAGUGUUAAGUAUAAAGAGAAUGAGACAAAUAGUUAAGACAAGAACCCUUAUAGAGGCGUCAGUUUUCCAUACAGCAUGGGUGAUAGUUACUGGAGACUGCUUCAGAGGGCUUCCUGGAGUGGAGUGGGGGUGGGGAAUUGACCAUCACAGAGGGUCUGGCAGGACCAGCAUGCUUGUAAAUUUCCAUGAAGGUGGGGAGAAAGCAAGGGCCCCUGUUUGCUCUCAUCCUGAGCUCUCUUCUGAAGCUGAGUCAUGAAUAGAUCCCACCUCCUCACUCCCCUACCGCCUCCUCCCCCCAUCUUUGGGAAAAACUCCCACCCUCUAGCAGGGCCAAGGGGGCAGAAGCAGCCAGCAGCCUCUCAUCAAGCCUUGACAGGAGUUGUCACCAGCACAAAGCCAGCAGGAGUGUGUGGGGAGCUGCGGGGCAGCUGUCUGGCCCCAGCCCCACUGUUUACCUGUCUGGGCUGUUGCUGGAAUCAUCCAUCUGUGUGAAGGAUCACACAGUCUUCCUCCGGCUGCCUCCCCCCUCUGCUCACCACCAGGCAUCUGUGUCUGCGGUUUUCACACCACUCCAAGUGCCUGGCAGCCACCUCUGCCAUAUCUGCUCCUUCCUGCUCAGCACCUGAGCAGGCUUCUGGUCAACUAGUCCUUGUCCAUUCACCCAGCAAACACCCAACACCACCAACAACAAUAUGUGUUUCCUCCUUUUUGCUGGCAAUUGAACCUGAGACCUUGAAGCUUCAGGCAUAGAAGAGGGGUUGAAUUGUUAUGUGGAAAACUUAGAAAUGUUAUGCAUGCACAAACCACUGUAUUUUACUGUUAACUUUAAACUAUUAAUCCCCCAAUAAAGA